AUACGGAGGAUCCGAGCGUUAUCCGGAUUUAUUGGGUUUAAAGGGUGCGCAGGCGGCCAUUUAAGUCAGCGGUUAAAUCGUGGGGCUCAACCCCAUUCUGCCGUUGAUACUGGGUGGCUUGAUUGCGGUCGAGGUUGGCGGAAUUCGUUGUGUAGCGGUGAAAUGCAUAGAUAUGACGAAGAACACCGAUUGCGUAGGCAGCUGACCAGACCGCAAAUGACGCGCAUGCACGAAAGUGCGGGGAUCGAACAGGAUUAGAUACCCUGGUAGUCCGCACAGUAAACGAUGAAUACUUGUUUUCGGCGAUAUAAUGUCGGAGGCAAAGCGAAAGCGAUAAGUAUUCCACCUGGGGAGUACGCCGGCAACGGUGAAACUUAAAGGAAUUGACGGGG
rnacentral:rRNA from 1 species